rnacentral:rRNA from 1 species
GAAAGAUGCUUUGGGCUAUCACUCUGGGAUGGACCUGCGGUGCAUUAGCUAGUUGGUAAGGUAACGGCUUACCAAGGCGAUGAUGCAUAGCCGAGUUGAGAGACUGAUCGGCCACAAUGGAACUGAGACACGGUCCAUACUCCUACGGGAGGCAGCAGUAGGGAAUCUUCCACAAUGGGCGCAAGCCUGAUGGAGCAACACCGCGUGAGUGAAGAAGGGUUUCGGCUCGUAAAGCUCUGUUGUUGGAGAAGAACGUGCGUGAGAGUAACUGUUCACGCAGUGACGGUAUCCAACCAGAAAGUCACGGCUAACUACGUGCCAGCAGCCGCGGUAAUACGUAGGUGGCAAGCGUUAUCCGGAUUUAUUGGGCGUAAAGCGAGCGCAGGCGGUUGCUUAGGUCUGAUGUGAAAGCCUUCGGCUUAACCGAAGAAGUGCAUCGGAAACCGGGCAACUUGAGUGCAGAAGAGGACAGUGGAACUCCAUGUGUAGCGGUGGAAUGCGUAGAUAUAUGGAAGAACACCAGUGGCGAAGGCGGCUGUCUGGUCUGCAACUGACGCUGAGGCUCGAAAGCAUGGGUAGCGAACAGGAUUAGAUACCCUGGUAGUCCAUGCCGUAAACGAUGAGUGCUAGGUGUUGGAGGGUUUCCGCCCUUCA